GCGCGGCCAGGCAGGCAGGGGAUCACGUGCGCAGGGGCGGGCGCAUCGAGAAUCUAAUCUGAGAGGUGGUAGGUGACGGAUGGGGUCCCCAGCUGCCAAAGGUCGCACGGCGGGAAGGAGCUGGCCGAAGCACUGACUUGGAAGUCAGACCUCAUUUCCAGGGUCACAUCGCCAGUCGUGGCCUUGCGCGGAUUACCUAACAUCAAGUCUCAAUUUCUUCACCUGACAAUCACCUCCUAGGAUUGCUGUAAAAAAUAAUAAUAAUAAUGCAUUACAGUUCUUGGCCCAGUGCCUGGCUCAUGGUGAGUUCUCAGUAAAUAACCAUGACCAGCACGUUGGGAGGCUGAGACAGGAGGAUCUCCUGAGCCCAGGAGUUCGAGACCAGCCUGGGCAACAUAGCCAGAUCCCCGUCUCUACAAAAAAAAUUAAAAAUAAUUAGAUAGGAGUGGUGGCAAGCGCCUGUGGUCCCCGCUACUUGGGAGGCUGAGUCUGGAGGAUCUCUGGAGCCCAGGAGGUCGAGGUGCAGUGAGCCGAGAUCGUGCCACUGCACUCCCAGCCUGGGCAACAGAGCAAGACCCUGUCUCAAAAAAAUAAAGUUGGUAACUAUGAGGGUGCUAAGGAAGAUGCCCACCCAAUUCACUGUGCUUUCUACUUCUCCCGCUGGAAAGCCUUGCUCUGGAGGAAGGCAGCUGCAGAGGAAGAUCCACAGAACCCCAAUCUUGGAUGGCUACUCGUGUCCCUCCAAUCUCCAGGCUCUCCUCCCUCUGGUUCACACUGCACAUUGCUUCACUAACCUGCUGGCUGCCUCACCAGCAACCGCGUUACCUUCGGACUGAACAGAGAUUUCAAGGUACUCCAUUUUGACCCCACCCUACCUCAUUCUCCUCUAUCUCCCGAACAAACAAACCUGUAGCCCAGACACUUUUUACUUCCAGGCCUUUACGUUGUACCCUUGACUGUCUUUGCCAACCUCCCACUGCAAGGGUUCACUCAUAUUUCUCCAAGGUUUGACUUCCUAUGCCCUGCUGAGGGCAGGGACCAGGUAGUGACUUAUUCAACUUGUCUCCUUCACAGCCUCCAGCACAAACCUGGGUGCACAGUAGGUACCCGGGAAGUGCUACUGAACUCAAGAGUUUGCAGGUUAAGUUGGCCAACCAUGAGGACCAAGUGUUUCCUUUUACCACGUAGGAAAUUAGAAGACAGAGGUAUGCCUCAGGUUUGCAACUGAGGGCAGCUGCAGUGUGAGAAAGGCCUGUUUAGUAUGUUGGAAAUAUUUUUUUUCUUUUUUUUUUUUCUUUUUGGAGACAGAGUCUUGCUCUGUCUCCCAGGCUGGAGUGCAAUGGCGCAAUCUUAGCUCACUGCAACCUCUGCCUCCCAAGUUCAAGCGAUUCUUGUACCUCAGCCUCCCAAGUAGCUAGGAUUACAGAUGUACGACACCAUGCCCGCUAAUUUUUGUAUUUUUAGUAGAAAUGGGGUUUCACCAUGUUGGCCAGGCUGGUCUUGAACUCCUGACCUCAAGUGAUCUGCCCACCUCGGCCUCCCAAGGUGCUGGGAUUACAGGUGUGAGCCACUGCACCUGGCCAUGUUGGAAAUAUGUAACGAUGAUGGGAGGAGUGGGGGAAAGAAGCCAGCAGGCAUAGAAGGGGCAAGAAAGCCUAACAGAACUGUGUUGUUUUGGUGCCAUUUUCCCUUCUGGAUGAUCCAUUAUACUCAUUCAACAUUAUGACUCAGUUAAUUUCCAUAAAGGCUUCUUGAGGCCAGAUGCAGUGACUCAUACCUGUAACCCCAGUGCUUUGGGAGGCUGAGGUGGGAGGAUCACUUGAAGCCAGGACUUCAAGACCAGCCUGGGCAACACAGCAAGAUCUCGUUACUACAAAAAGAUAAAAAAUAAAACCAAUAAUUAGCCAGGCAUGGUAGUGCGCACCUAUAGUCCCAGCUACUCAGGAGGCUAAGGUGAGUGGAUUACUGGAGCCCAGGAGUUUGAAGCUACAGUGAGCUAUGAUUAUGUCACUGCACUCCAGCCUGGGCAAUAGACCGAGACCCUGUUACGAUUUGUUGAGCAUUUACUUUGUGCCAGGCAUGUGCCGGGUGCUACCAAGUGCACAAAGCUGAAUGAGACUCAGUUCCAAGGCACUCCAGCAUCAUCUAAAGGAAGUCCUGAUUACUGUGAUGCUUUGGGUGUUUUGAGGAGAGAGCGAUUUCUGUAAGUUGGUGGAUUUUUGUGAAGUAGGAGGGGCUCAGCUGGGCCCUGAAGGAUAUAUCAGAUUUGACAGAAACAGGAGGAGACAUAUGAGAAGAGCAUUUCAGGAGAGAAGAGGAGAACAGCCUACGCAAAGAUAUGGGGACCAGAGAGUCGUGGCGUUUCCAGGUUUCACAUACCCCAUUGUGGCUGGAAUGUAGGAUGCUUUAGGAGGCCACUGAGAAUGAGUGGUAGAAAUAAGACAGAAAUAAGACAGGCUGCGCUCAGACCAUGAACACCAGGCUAAGGAGCCAGCCUUCAGAGAACACCAGGCUGAGACCAGGGGAGCCAGCCUUCAGAGAACUUUGAGCAGUGACCUGCUUAGGCUGUUCUCAAAUUGCAAGGGAGGUAUGAGAAGAAGGAGUCCAGCAGCCAACAGCUUGGCAGGCAGGUCACAGCUAGAUGCCUUCAUUCAUUUUCACCUGGGGAUUGUCUGCCUUCUGCCCCAAUCUGCCUACCUCUUCCCCAUCUUGGAGUCUCUUCUAAGUUGGUACUGAAUUAAAUAAGAGGGUAUACACUUUCCUCUUGAUUAUCCUACCUGUCCAAUGUUCUACUACACGCCAGCUGGACAAAGUCAUAGAUUUCAGUUCAAAACUGACCUGGGGAGGUGGGGCACAGCGUCUCACACCUGUAAUCCCAACACUUCGAGAGGCCAAGGCUAGAGGAUCACUUGAGCCCAGGAGUUCAAGACCAGCCUGGGCAACAUACUGAGAUUCUGUCUCUAUAAAACAAACUUCAAAAAUUAGCUGAGUGUGGUGGCGUCCACCUGUAGUCCCAGCUACUAGGGAGGCUGAGGUGGGAGGAUUGCUGGAGCCCAGGAGUUCGAGGCUGCAGUGAGCUAUGAUUGCACCACUGCACUCCAGCCUCAGCAACAGAGUGGGACCCUGUCUUUAAAAACAAACAAACAAACAAACAACUCAGCCUGGGAGGAAGUUUUUCAGCUCUAGUUCCCCCUCCUCUCCAACACUCACAUUUUUAGUGCUGCUCCCCCAAUAAAGAAAACAAGGCAUAAAACCUAGCUGGACAGCCUCCCCAGCUGAGUAUGAAACAAAGCAUAUCUUCCACCCAUGGAAAGGAUUAGAGGACAAAGAGGGUGGGGAAGUACCUGUGACCUCAUGUGUUUGAGUUUCUGUGAGACACAAAUAGACUUUGGUGAAAGCAGAUGUGGUAGUUUGGAGGCAGGCACAGCUGCCUCACCACCCAGGAGAAAUCCAGACCACUCUCAUCAGACACUGACCACUGGCAGGGGUUAGCUCAAAGGAGUGGGGGCUUCCCAAGGCAGGAACUGGAAAUUUUUCAGAGAAGGAAGAGGCCGGAGCCCCAGCACCAGGUGUGCCUUGCUGCCUCCAGCUGUUUGGUGGCUGUUUUUUCCCCUCCACCAGCCCAGAGCACGUUGUUCCCAUGACUCUGCCCAGGAGUCACCCUCUGUCUUCUCCCAAUUUUCCAGACCCAGAAUCCAGGCUGGGGGAUGCACAGGGACAACAACAAGGGCAGUGACAAGGCAGGCACCCUGCAGGCCCCUGGCUCCCCACUGGCCCUGGGAAGACUCCACCGUGGCCGCUCCUCCCCACUCCCAAAGGCCAGGCUAUGCUGGCCGGCUGAACCCGCGCAGGGUCACUGAGUUCCAGGAGUGUUUGUAAAUACCUCCCGCAGCCAGGGUGCGGCAGAACAGGAAGGCUGCUCCUUCCUCCCAUCCUGCCCUGCCUCCAGCUUGGACUGAAAGAGGAAGAGUUUCAAUCAACCCUGAGCACAUGGACAAGCCUGGCAGGUUAGACUGGACAGAAGGACCCUCACUCCAGUGACAAGUGUCCUAACAGAACAAGGCAGAGCGAGACUACACAAACAGGAGGAGAAAGACCUGAGAAGGAGGAGGCAGAGAUGAGACUGAUGCAUCCACAAACCAAGGAAUGCCCAAGGCCACCAGAAGCCAGAGGACACGAGUGACAACACCUCCCUAGAGCCUCUGGACAGAGUUCAACCCUGCUGACACCUUCAUUCUGGACUUUCAACCUCCAGAGCUGACAGUGAGAGAAUAAAUAUCUGUUGCCUUUUUUUUUUUUUUUUUUUUUCAGAUGGAGUCUCUCUUUGUCACCCAGGCUGCAGUGCAAUGGCACAAUCUCAGCUCACUACAAUCUCCGUCUCCCAGGUUCAAGCAAUUCUCCUGCCUCAGCCUCCCAAGUAGGUGGGAUUACAGGUGCCCGCCACCAUGCCUAGCUGAUUUUUGUAUUUUUAGUAGAGACAGGGGUUUCACCAUGUUGGCCAGGUUGGUCUUGAACUCCUGACUUCAGGUGAUCUUCCUGCCUUGGCCUCCCAAAGUCCUGGGAUUACAGGUGUGAGCCACUGCGCCCGGCCAUCUGUUGUCUUAAGCCACCAAGUUAGUGGUAAUUUGUGACAGCAGCCACAGGAAGCGAAUACAGGGGUAUGGGGAAUGAAAUCGCUCUAAAUUCUCCUCUGUCUUUCAGUGCAUAGACAUAAGUGUGCACCCACACCCAAGAAUGGAAUUGCUGGAUCACAGGGUGGGUGUAUGUUCAGCACUAAGAGAUAUUGCUAAACAAUUUUCUAAAGAGGUUAUAGCAAUUUAUACUCCCACCAAUGUUUGAGAUCCAGUUUCUCCACAUGGUUGUCAGCCUCAGUGCUAUGGUUUGAAUAUUUGACCCCUCCAAACCUCAUGUUGAAAUGUGAUCCCCAGUGUCAGAGGUGGGACCUAAUAGGAGGUGUUUGGGUCAUGGGGGCGGAUCCCUCAAGACUUCAUGACAGCUUGGUGCAGUCUUGGAAGUAGUGAGUAAGUUCUCGUUCUGUAAGUUCCUGUGAGGGCUGAUUGCGUUUUUUUUCGUUUCGUUUGUUGUUUGUUUGUUUUUCUUCGAGACGGAGUCUUGCUCUGUCACCCAGGCUGGAGUGCAGUGGCACCAUCUCGGCUCACUGCAACCUCCGCCUCCCAGGUUCAAGCAAUUCUCCUGCCUCAGCCUCCCAAGUAGCUGGGAUUACAGGCUCCUGCCACCAUGCACAGCUAAUUUUUGUAUUUUUAGUAGAGACGGGGUUUCGCCAUGUUGGCCAGGCUGGUCUUGAGCUGCUGGCCUCAAGUGACCCACCCGCCUCCGCCUCCCAGAGUGCUGGGAUUACAGGCAUGAGCCACCGCGUCCAGCCUGGGCUGGUUAUUAAAAAAAACAGACUGCUACCUCCCCUCUCUCUCUUGCUUUCUCUCUCACCCUAUGGUCUCUGCACACGCAGGCUUCCGUUUGCCUUCUGCCAUGAGUGGAAGCAGGUUGAGGCCCCCAUCAGAAGUAGAUGUUGGUGCCAUGCUUCUUGUAUGGCCAGAAGAACCAGCAGCCAAAUGAACCUCUUUUCUUUAUAAAUUACCCAGCCUUGGGUAUUCCUUAUAGUAACACAAGCAGAUGAAGACAUUUAGUAUUGUCUUUUGCAUUUCACCCUUCUGGCGGCUGUGCAAUAGUUUUAAUUUUUAUUUCCCUGGUGACUAAUGAGGCUGUAUGCUUUUUCUUAAGCUUUUUCACCAUUUGGAUAUGGUUUUCUCGUGAUGGGCCUACUCAUAUCUUUGGCCCAUUUUUCUUCUG
rnacentral:lncRNA from 1 species